rnacentral:misc_RNA from 2 species
AACGCACCUUGCGCCUUUUGGUAUUCCGAAAGGCAUGCCUGUUUGAGUGUCAUGAAAUCUCAAUCCCCCCGGGUUUUCUGAACCCGAGGUGGACUUGGACAUGGGUGUCUGCCGUCUUGUACGGCUCGCCUUAAAUGACUCAGUGGGAUCUUCAGCAUCCGUGGCAGACGUAAUAAGUUUCGUCUCGUCCCUUGCUGUGAGGACCGCUCAUAACCUGCCAUCGCGCACCACUUUUGACUCUGACCUCAAAUCAGGUAGGACUACCCGCUGAACUUAA